UCCCUGUUACCAGGGCAGUCUAGCUAGAGAAAUUCAACUAACUAUAAGGGUUGCGCUCGUUGAUGGACUUAACCAAACAUCUCACGACACGAGCUGACGACGGCCAUGCAUCACCUGUCACUGUGUUCCAAAAGGCACACUUUGCUUUCGCAAUGCUUCACAGGAUGUCAAGCCUGGGUAAGGUUCUUCGCUUACCAUCGAAUUAAACAACACGCUCCACCGCUUGUGCGGGUCCCCGUCAAUUCCUUUGAGUUUUAAACUUGCGUUCGUACUACUCAGGCGGGAUGCUUAACGCGUUAGCUUCGCUACUAAGAGGGUCGAUACUCCUAACAGCUAGCAUCCAUAGUUUAGGGCGUGGACUAC
rnacentral:misc_RNA from 1 species